rnacentral:rRNA from 1 species
AAACCAACAGGGAUUGCCUCAGUAACGGCGAGUGAAGCGGCAAAAGCUCAAAUUUGAAAUCUAGCACCUUCGGUGUUCGAGUUGUAAUUUGAAGAUGGUAACCUUGGGUUUGGCUCUUGUCUAUGUUCCUUGGAACAGGACGUCAUAGAGGGUGAGAAUCCCGUCUGAUGAGAUGCCCAUUCCUAUGUAAGGUGCUAUCGAAGAGUCGAGUUGUUUGGGAAUGCAGCUCUAAGUGGGUGGUAAAUUCCAUCUAAAGCUAAAUAUUGGCGAGAGACCGAUAGCGAACAAGUACAGUGAUGGAAAGAUGAAAAGAACUUUGAAAAGAGAGUGAAAAAGUACGUGAAAUUGUUGAAAGGGAAGGGCAUUAGAUCAGACUUGGUGUUUUACGAUUAUCUUCUCUUCUUGAGUUGUGCACUCGUAUUUCACUGGGCCAGCAUCGAUUCGGAUGGCAAGAUAAUGGCAGUUGAAUGUGGCUUCACUUCGGUGGAGUGUUAUAGCUUCUGCUGAUAUUGCCUGUCUGGAUCGAGGGCUGCGUCUUUUGACUAGGAUGCUGGCGUAAUGAUCUAAUGCCGCCCG